GUUGACCUCGAAUCAGGUAGGAGUACCCGCUGAACUUAA
rnacentral:rRNA from 1 species